AUUACAUGCAAUCGACAGAGGAACGUUAUUGAGAAAUUCAAUCACAAUCUUGUUUCAUGUUCACGUUACUAUUUCGGUAAUGGUAUUUGUGAAAAUAUCACAGGAAUGGCCUGGAUUCAUCAAGCACUUUGUUAAUAUUGAAAAAACGAUGAUGAAAUAUAAGCCUAUUAAUAAAAACGUGACAAGCCAGAUUAAUAAAAUGGCAAUAACUAUUUUUAUUACUGCAGCCAUUGAACAUAAUUUGUCUUUUAUCAGUUACAUGAACCAGAGCCAUUGUAGUUACAAAACUGGUCUAGAAUUUUACACAAAACAACGAUACCGCUUUAUAUUUUCCUACUUUGA